AUUUUUUAGAAAGAGUUGAAAUACUUACAGGUGGUUUUAUCUAUAAAUUAAUGAAAGGAUUGUUACAGGAGAAUAAAAUGAUUAACCUAUGGUACCUGACUCCUGUACGAUUUUUUAAGUUUGUUUCAGAAUCAAAUGGAAAAUGUUGGAAUUGUGUAGCUGCUAUUGGAAAUUAUAGCCAUAUGUGGUGGGCAUGUAAUAAGGUUUUAGUAAUAUGGCAAUGGACGCAAAAUAUUUUAUUCAGAUUAAGUGAGGUUAAAUUUCCAAAAACCCUUGUAACAAUGGUAUUACAUUGGCCAAACUUGAAACAAAUAGAUC